rnacentral:rRNA from 1 species
AUUGAACGCUGGCGGCAUGCUUUACACAUGCAAGUCGAACGGUAACAGGCCUUCGGGUGCUGACGAGUGGCGAACGGGUGAGUAAUGCAUCGGAACGUACCCAGAGGUGGGGGAUAACGCAGCGAAAGCUGUGCUAAUACCGCAUGUGAUCUGAGGAUGAAAGCGGGGGACCGAGCAGCAAUGUUUGGCCUCGCGCCUUUGGAGCGGCCGAUGUCGGAUUAGCUAGUUGGUGGGGUAAAGCCUACCAAGGCGACGAUCCGUAGCUGGUCUGAGAGGACGACCAGCCACACUGGGACUGAGACACGGCCCAGACUCCUACGGGAGGCAGCAGUGGGGAAUUUUGGACAAUGGGCGCAAGCCUGAUCCAGCAAUGCCGCGUGCGGGAAGAAGGCCUUCGGGUUGUAAACCGCUUUUGGCAGGAACGAAACGGUGUCCGCUAAUACCGGGCGCUAAUGACGGUACCUGCAGAAUAAGCACCGGCUAACUACGUG